rnacentral:rRNA from 1 species
CCCUUAGAUGUUCUGGGCCGCACGCGCGCUACACUGACGAAUGCAACGAGCUUAUAACCUUGGCCGAAAGGUCUGGGUAAUCUCCAAAUUUCGUCGUGAUGGGGAUAGAUUAUUGCAAUUAUUAAUCUUCAACGAGGAAUGCCUAGUAAGCGCAAGUCAUCAGCUUGCGUUGAUUACGUCCCUGCCCUUUGUACACACCGCCCGUCGCUCCUACCGAUUGGGUGCUCCGGUGAAUUGUUUGGACUGCUGUCAGUCUUUUCGGCUGUCGGCGAGAAGCUCUGUGAACCUUAGCACCUAGAGGAAGGAGAAGUCGUAACA